CCCUGACAGGUUUGUACCUGACAUCAGCCAAGACAGGAGUAUGAAAUG
rnacentral:ncRNA from 1 species